rnacentral:rRNA from 1 species
GAUGAACGCUGGCGGCGUGCCUAAUACAUGCAAGUCGAGCGAACGGACGAGAAGCUUGCUUCUCUGAUGUUAGCGGCGGACGGGUGAGUAACACGUGGAUAACCUACCUAUAAGACUGGGAUAACUUCGGGAAACCGGAGCUAAUACCGGAUAAUAUUUUGAACCGCAUGGUUCAAAAGUGAAAGACGGUCUUGCUGUCACUUAUAGAUGGAUCCGCGCUGCAUUAGCUAGUUGGUAAGGUAACGGCUUACCAAGGCAACGAUGCAUAGCCGACCUGAGAGGGUGAUCGGCCACACUGGAACUGAGACACGGUCCAGACUCCUACGGGAGGCAGCAGUAGGGAAUCUUCCGCAAAGGGCGAAAGCCUAACGGAGCAACGCCGCGUGAGUGAUGAAGGUCUUCGGAUCGUAAAACUCUGUUAUUAGGGAAGAACAUAUGUGUAAGUAACUGUGCACAUCUUGACGGUACCUAAUCAGAAAGCCACGGCUAACUACGUG